rnacentral:lncRNA from 1 species
GAGAUGUGAUAACAAGGAAAACAGUGUUUGGGGAGAUAACUCCUACAAAGAAAAGUAUUCGUUUAUGCAGGGUAAAUUUCAAAAGCGCAUAAACUGUUCGAUAUCAUAUACAAAAUAUCUAAGCGACAUAUUGCGAAACAAAUGUUUAUCGCAAGAACAAAAUUAGGCGGAAGAAAAAAAAAAAAAUAGUCAGAAGAAAAACAAUAGGUCUUUCCACAGAAAAGUGGAAAGACCUAAUAAUAAUAAACAGAAGAAAUACAGUAAGGUCUUUCCCUUUUGUAAAAGGAAAGACCUUAAUAAUCAGAAGAAAACCAAUAGGUCUUUCCACGGAAAAGUGGAAAGACCUAAUAAUAAUAAUAAUCAGAAGAAAUCCAAUAGGUCUUUCCACGGAAAAGUGGAAAGACCUAAUAAUAAUAAUAAUCAGAAGAAAUCCAAUAGGUCUUUCCACGGAAAGGUGGAAAGACCUAAUAAUCAGAACAAAUACAAUAGGUCUUUCAACUGAAAGGUUGAAAGACCUAAUAAUCAGAAGAAAUCCAAUAGGUCUUUCCACGGAAAAGUGGAAAGACCUAAUAAUUAAAAACCAAUUGUUCAAAGAACAAUUGAAGGUCUUUCAACCAAUAAGGAUCUAUUUUGAUAUGAAAAUAUUAAGAUUCAGUUGAAAAUGUCAGUUGCUAUGGCUUUAUGAUAUGAAAAUAUGAAUUUCGAGCAAAGGUCAAAAUCUAGAACGUCCAAUUAACCUAUGACCUUGACCCCAAUUUCAAGGUCAUAAACCAAGGAUCCCAAAUCAAAAGACCCUAGGUCAGUAGUAUGUAUGGUUCAUGAGUAAUAUCACUUUAUGCAUAAUUCUAAAUAUAAGAGGGGCAAAAACUCCCGUUUAUUGUCUACGCACCCUAUCAAUCAAAAAUUCUAAGUUACGACAUGUCGCAACUAACAAUUUAGUAAAAAGAAUUUGUCGAAAUCUUAUAAAGUUAACGAGAAUAAGUGAAAAUAAGCCAAAAUCAAAAUUUAGAAUUUGACCUUGACCUAAUUUUCAUUUUUUGGACCAAGGAUCUUAAAUCAAAAGACCCUAGGUCUCUAUCACUUAUAGUUUACCAGUUAGAAAUGCAUAUCACUGAUAUCAUAUAUAAAAGGGG